rnacentral:rRNA from 1 species
CCUACGGGAGGCAGCAGUGGGGAAUCUUGGACAAUAGGCGAAAGCCCGAUCCAGCAAUAUCGCGUGAGUGAAGAAGGGCUUAGGGUUGUAAAGCUCUUUCGUCGAGUGCGCGAUAAUGACAGGACUCGAGGAAGAAGCCCCGGCUAACUCCGUGCCAGCAGCCGCGGUAAU